rnacentral:tRNA from 1 species
GGGGAUUUAGCUCAGCGGCAUAAGCACCUGCCUUGUAAGCAGGCAGUCGUGAGUUCAAUUCCUG